rnacentral:rRNA from 1 species
GUAGGGAAUAUUGCGCAAUGGACGAAAGUCUGACGCAGCGACGCCGCGUGAGUGAUGAAGGCCUUAGGGUCGUAAAGCUCUGUUGAAUGGGAAGAAAAAAAUGACGGUACCAUUCGAGGAAGGACCGGCUAACUUCGUGCCAGCAGCCGCGGUAAUACGAGGGGUCCUAGUGUUGUUCGGAAUCAUUGGGCGUAAAGGGUGUGUAGGUGGCCAUGUAAGUCAGGUGUGAAAGCCCCGGGCUCAACCCGGGAAGUGCACUUGAUACUGCGUGGCUUGAGUACCGAAGAGGGUAGUGGAAUUCCAGGUGUAGUGGUGAAAUACGUAGAUAUCUGGAGGAACACCGGUGGCGAAGGCGGCUACCUGGUCGAGUACUGACACCGAGACACGAAAGCAUGGGGAUCAAACAGGAUUAGAAACCCGUGUAGUCC